rnacentral:rRNA from 1 species
UACGUAGGUGACAAGCGUUGUCCGGAUUUACUGGGCGUAAAGAGCGCGCAGGCGGUCGUUCAAGUCGAGUGUGAAAGCCCCCGGCUCAACUGGGGAGGGUCAUUCGAUACUGAUCGACUCGAAGGCAGGAGAGGGUAGUGGAAUUCCCGGUGUAGUGGUGAAAUUCGUAGAUAUCAGGAGGAACACCAGUGGCGAAGGCGGCUUUCUGGACGGUAACUGACGCUGAGACGCGAAAGCGUGGGGAGCAAACAGG